GUCGUCAUUGUUAUAAGAUGGUAAUAACAUCAUCAAAUAUUUGCCCUGUUGAAUGGAUGUACGUUUUUGCGUCACAUCCUGUUGAUGCUAAAAUUACGUGCACUGUUACAUCAAGAUCCAUGAACUUGUCAGCAGUGCAGCCAGCCUUCUUUCUAUGGUCGUAAUGUAAUCGUUUACAGCUCUCGAAAUGAGCAGACAGCUCAGCUGCUUGGUGCAUACUCUUACCAAUCGGUCUAUAUUAUUCCCUCUUGCAUUAUUUAUUUUCAGGCGGUGGAAGAAGCACUUGCAGGUAUGCUACCGACCAGGCUCCUCAACAUCAAUCCGAGACGGAAGAUGAACCGGGAUGAAGCAGUUAGAUUGAGACAAGGCGGCCGGAAACUUUGAUGACCUCAAUGACACUGGCUAGGUGAAGGACAUCAAGAAAAUGGCAUCCGGUCACCAGACAUCAGCUCAUAAGCCACAACCUCAUCAACCAUUUUCUGCCAAAAAUGAAGCCGUUCACAUACCAUGGCAUCCUAAGCAGGCAGCACCACACUACUGUGCAACAGUGAGAGAGAGCGGGCAAGGACAAGUAAAACGGACCUACACUACA